rnacentral:lncRNA from 1 species
UCUUUCUCUCUGUUAGUUUCUAAGGUGUUACUAGACCCUCUUGCUUACUGUUCCAAACUAACACAGCUACAUUUUUUAAUUCAAGAUUUCUGGCACCCAAAAACAUUUUUUUCAUGCAUAUUUAUCUUUACUAUANAUAGAAAAGCAGAACAGAAGUAUAUAAUUUUAAAAGGAGGUGCUGCCUAGGAUAACUACUCUAUGCAAAUUUUCCGCAUGAGAACAGGAGGUGUUGGACAACCUCUUCACCCUCAAAAGAAAUGAGUAAAACCCUCCCCAUCCCCCUUUCCACCCAGAGAGAUGCAUACACAAACAGGAGGAUGGGAACUGGGCGAGGGGAGAAAGUUUCUGAAGGUCUCAGAAAGUGAGUUUCUUGGUAAAACAAACGGACAAGGAAAUAAUGUUAAAAUCAGGCAUGACUGAGGAUGUUGGCAGAGGAAGCCCCUUUAUGAACUACAGAGAACGAUGGGAGGGGGGCGGCGUUAUCCAAAGUGAACAGUGCAAUGAUGGACAAGAACAAAAAGUGCACACAAACACGCCUAAAAAGUUUUGCCUUUUCCACACCUUGUUUGGUGGCAAUCUGAACAUGCAAGCGACAGGCGACCAUGGGGGUAAAGAGAGCAUCGUAGCCAAGAUGUGAGGGCGGUAUAGGGGGCGAAUGGAAAUACACACAGAGAUCCUGCGGGAAGAAGAGGAAGGAUGGCUGACUGAAACAGGGUUUCUCCAUCCCGGCUGCAGCGCAGGAAGGAGACACAAAGGGCCAGAGAGAGGCUGCAAGGGACCUAAGGACGGGGAGCAGGAAAAGGGAAAUUCCCCCUCACUUUCUGAUGCUGCAGGCUAUGGACCAGACAAGUUAGAUUCUUCCUUGUUUCUCUUGGAAGAAAUUUGCAAAGCUACUGCUCUAAAAAACAAAACCUAAAACACAUAUUUGGGGAUGACUUGAUUACAGACUUAUACUUAUUUUUUUCUCUAGUUUCUGCUACAAAAUGAUGGGGGGGGGUGUCAUAAACUAUUAAACACACCCAUGGGCAGAUUCUACCUUUGGGUUCAAACCAUUUGCCCCAUGGCUAGUUCAGGUUCAUUAUUAAAUGACCUGGCCAUUUUGUGUUCAUGCACGUGCCUGAGGUCAGAUAGUCCAUGCUAUUCUGAUCUGACUUUCAAUAAGAAAAUACAAUCUUUGCCACAGUGGAGAUUCCAUCCUGCUACCUCUGUCCACCCAGAAGAAAUGGAAUUUUUAUAAACAUGCAUGUUUCAGAAAAGCAUGCAUGGUUCACUGCACAAAUGAUAAGAUGAUCUCAGCUUAUCCUUUUAAAAUGUAUUAGACUGCUGAUAACAUGUUAUUUACUUUGGGUAAUGUUUAUUUAUUUAUUAUCCACCCUUGUGUAAUAAACCAAGCAA